GAUGAACGCUGACAGAAUGCUUAACACAUGCAAGUCCACUUGAACUUCGGUUUGGGUGGCGGACGGGUGAGUAACGCGUAAAGAACUUGCCUCACAGCUAGGGACAACAUUUGGAAACGAAUGCUAAUACCUGAUAUUAUGAUUAUAUGGCAUCGUAUAAUUAUGAAAGCUAUAUGCGCUGUGAGAGAGCUUUGCGUCCCAUUGGCUAGUUGGAGAGGUAACAGCUCACCAAGGCGAUGAUGGGUAGCCGGCCUGAGAGGGUGAUCGGCCACAAGGGGACUGAGACACGGCCCUUACUCCUACGGGAGGCAGCAGUGGGGAAUAUUGGACAAUGGACCGAGAGUCUGAUCCAGCAAUUCUGUGUGCACGAUGAAGUUUUUCGGAAUGUAAAGUGCUUUCAGUUGGGAAGAAAAAAAUGACGGUACCAACAGAAGAAGUGACGGCUAAAUACGUG
rnacentral:rRNA from 1 species